AAAAAGGAAAUAAAAAAGGAAGAAAAUGGAGCAAAAAUGAAGAAAUAUGGGGCGCCCACCAUAUUUGAGAAAGGUGGCGCAAAAAGGAAAUAAAAAAGGAAGAAAAUGGAGCAAAAAUGAAGAAAUAUGGGGCGCCCACCAUAUUUGAGAAAGGUGGCGCCCGCCACAUGGCCUUAGGAAGUGGUGGCGCCCACAACAAACAAUAUGGCACCCACCAUAAAGCUUGGACAUGUG
rnacentral:lncRNA from 1 species